rnacentral:rRNA from 1 species
AUUGAACGCUGGCGGCAUGCCUUACACAUGCAAGUCGAACGGCAGCGGGGGAGAAGCUUGCUUUUCCUGCCGGCGAGUGGCGAACGGGUGAGUAAUACAUCGGAACGUGCCCUGUAGUGGGGGAUAACUAGUCGAAAGAUUAGCUAAUACCGCAUACGACCUGAGGGUGAAAGUGGGGGACCGCAAGGCCUCAUGCUAUAGGAGCGGCCGAUGUCUGAUUAGCUAGUUGGUGGGGUAAAGGCCUACCAAGGCGACGAACAGUAGCUGGUCUGAGAGGACGAGCAGCCACACUGGGACUGAGACACGGCCCAGACUCCUACGGGAGGCAGCAGUGGGGAAUUUUGGACAAUGGGCGAAAGCCUGAUCCAGAAAUGCCGCGUGUGUGAAGAAGGCCUUCGGGUUGUAAAGCACUUUUGUCCGGAAAGAAAUGGCUCUGGUUAAUACCUGGGGUCGAUGACGGUACCGGAAGAAUAAGGACCGGCUAACUACGUGCCAGCCGCCGCCGUAA